rnacentral:lncRNA from 1 species
CAUUUGAUUAUGAUGUAUUCUGGUGUCAUUUCCUUUAUGAUUAUCCUGCUUAAGGUCUGUUGAGAGUUUCCUGGAUGGGGAAGUUUAUACUUUUCAUCAGAGUUUGAAAAUUUGGGACAUUAUUUCUUCAAAUAGUUUUCUGGUCCCCACAUUUUUUUUUUAAAUUAUAGUUGGUUUGCAGUGUUGUGUCAAUUUCUGCUGUACAGCAAAGUAACUCAAUCAUAUAUUCACAUAUAUGUACAUGUAUAUAUAUAUAUAUAUAUACACACAUAUAUAUAUAUAUAUAUACACACACACAUUCUUUUUCUCAUAUUAUCUUCCAUUAUGUUCUGUCACAAGAAAUUGGAUACAGUUCCCUGUGCUGCACAAGUAGGACUUCAUUGCUUAUCCAUUAUAAAUGUAAUAGUUUACAUCUAUUAACCUCAAACUCCCCCCAGUCCAUCCCACUCCCUCCCCUCCCCCUUGGCAACCACAAUACUAUUCUCCAUGUCUAUAAGUUUGUUUCUGUUCUGUAGAUAGGCUCAUUUGUGCCACCUUUUAGAUUCCACAUAUAAGUGAUAUCAUAUGGUAUUUGUCUCUUUCCAACUUACUUGACUUAGUAUGAGACACUCUAGUUGCAUCCAUGUUGCUGCAAAUGGCAUUAUUUUGUUCUUUUUAUGGCUAAGUAGUAUUUCAUUGUAUAUUUGUACCACAUCUUCUUAAUCUAUUCAUUUGCCAAUGGACAUUUAGCUUGUUUCCAUGUCUUGGCUAGUGUGAAUAGUGCUGCAAUGAACACAGGGGCGCAUGUAUCUUUUUCAGUGAAAAUUUGUCUGGAUAUAUGCCCAGGAGUGGGAUUGCUAGAUCAUAUGGUAGUUCUAUAUUUAGUUUUCUGAGGAAUCUCCAUACUGUUUUCCAUAGUGGUUGUACCAAUUUACAUUCCCACCAACAAUGUAGGAGGGUUCCUUUUUCUCCACAUUCUCUCCAGCAUUUGUUAUUUGUAGACUUUUCAAUGACAACCAUUCUGACCAGUGUGAACUGGUACUUCACUGUAGUUUUGAUUUCUCUGUAAUUUUUUCAGUCAUCUUUCUAUGUUCAUUAUGGGUUGUUACUUUUCAAGAACACUGAUCUUUUCCUCUGUUGGAUAUAAUUUGUCUUUAAUCCCAUCAAGCAAAACCCAUUUAAUAUACUUUAUAUUUCAUCUCUAAAAGCUCCAUUUUAUUUAUUUAUUUAUUUUUUUAUUUGCUUUUUGGCUGCACCCAUGGCAUAUGGAAAUUUCCCAGACCAGGGA